rnacentral:rRNA from 1 species
UACGGGGGAGCAAGCGUUGUUCGGAUUUACUGGGCGUAAAGGGCGCGUAGGCGGCCAGCACAAGUCAGUUGUGAAAUCUCCGAGCUUAACUCGGAAAGGUCAACUGAUACUGUGCGGCUAGAGUGCGGAAGGGGCAACUGGAAUUCUUGGUGUAGCGGUGAAAUGCGUAGAUAUCAAGAGGAACACCUGCGGCGAAGGCGGGUUGCUGGGCCGACACUGACGCUGGAGGCGACGGAAAGCCAGGGGAGGCGAACGGG